rnacentral:tRNA from 1 species
UUAAAGGUAACAUGAGUGGUUGAAGGAGCUACCCUGGAAAGGUAGUAUACGGGUAACUGUAUCGAGGGUUCGAAUCCCUUCCUUUCUGC